rnacentral:rRNA from 1 species
GAAGCUGGAUUCGCUAGUAAUCGCGCAUCAGCCACGGCGCGGUGAAUACGUUCCCGGGCCUUGUACACACCGCCCGUCAAGCCAUGGGAGUCGGGAGUGCCUGAAGUGCGUGAGCGCGAGCAGCGCCCUAGGGCAAAACCGAUGACUGGGGCUAAGUCGUAACAAGGUACC